CUUAAAACUAGAGCAAGCAGUUUGCAGACUACAAGCAUACUCCAAGAAGCCAAACUUCACACCUCCAAACUUUAUUUGGACUAAAUACUGUUCUGCUAGAUAGAAGCAGUGAUUGUGCUCAUCAGACAUACUGCUGCCUCAUCAAGAAUUGCUAUGUUUAUUUUGCCAGAGGCUCUAUCUCCAGAAAGUAACCAAUGGUAAAGAAGCCCAAAUGAAACACAUCUGCAGAACAGAGACACUGUUACCCACAUCCUUCUUCUCUAUGAAGCAGAACUAUAGUAGCUUUAUUGCUUACUAAGUCUUCCAGAAACAAUGGAUGUAGAAGAACAAAGAACAUCUGAGUUCUGCUGUAGAAGCAUUUACCAGACUGUGCUGGAUAAAAUCAUACCCUUCAUCUUUUCAUUAUGUCUUUUCCCCUUGUGUGAACCUUGUGGAUGUAGGUCUCCAGCAGGGAAUUCACUCGCUUCACCAGGGGUUAUCCAGCACAGAGCAGCUCCAAGAGACUCUCCAAGCCCCAGUCAGGUGCUCUUCCAAACUCAGGCAUGAAACAGGAGGCAGCAGUACAGCGAAGAGUACUGGUGAAGAGAAAUAUUCAACAGUGUUUCCCAUUUCACAGAACAUAUCCUAAAUAUCACUCAUCAUACUACAAAGGCCUUUACUUCCUCUCUUGCAAGAAGAACUAUUGCAGUGAAGUUACAUAAUUUGUGCUAAUGAGGACUCACGUGGAGUGUUCCGUGGGAUAAGUACAAACGAUAUGCAAGCACAGAAGAGGUUUGAGACACAGGUUGUACCAGUGCUGUACCACACGAUCCAAGAAGAAAGGUUGGGACAGGUGUGCAGAGUAUAUCAAUGAGAAAGAGAGCAAAAGAUAGAAUGAAGUAAGAAAUCCUACGAUUUGAUGAUUUUAGGAAUUAUGAAAUGGGGCUGCUUACUUUCUUCCUAAAUCACUCAUUCCAAAUACUUUUUCCGAAGUCAGCAUACUUUUGCCUCCUCAAAAUACAUUCACCACUUAUGUCAGAACUUUAGCCUGUGGUAAAACUGACUUAGCUAGUUAUAAAAUAAUGGCAAAAAUUUUAGAACAAUAACUCCUAUACUAUUUGCCAUGACUAUACUGUGAAAUCAUUGUGUUGUAUUAUCAGCUACAACUCCUCAGAGAAUCUUAAUUGGAUACAAAUAGUCUAUUGAGGAUUUUGCCUGAGGUGAUACACCAUCACACUUUGAUUUUCACAUGAAAGAACGAAUAGCAUAUAAAUGUAUACUGUUUAUAAAGUGGAACUAUUUGUUGUGAGCCUUUGGAAAAAAAAAAAAGGAAAAAAAAA